rnacentral:rRNA from 1 species
UACGUAGGGGGCUAGCGUUGUCCGGAAUCAUUGGGCGUAAAGCGCGUGUAGGCGGUUCGGUAAGUCCGCUGUGAAAGUCGGGGGCUCAACCCUCGAAUGCCGGUGGAUACUGUCGGACUAGAGUACGGAAGAGGCGAGUGGAAUUCCUGGUGUAGCGGUGAAAUGCGCAGAUAUCAGGAGGAACACCAAUUGCGAAGGCAGCUCGCUGGGACGUUACUGACGCUGAGGCACGAAAGCGUGGGGAGCAAACAGG